UAAAAAUAGUUAAGUGAAUAAGGGCGCACGGUGGAUGCCUUGGUACUAGGAGCCGAAGAAGGACGGGACUAACACCGAUAUGUCUCGGGGAGUCGUAAGUAGACAUCGAUCCGAGAAUUUCCGAAUGGGGGAACCCACUGUUCGUAAUGGAACAGUACGCAUAGCUGAAUACAUAGGCUAUGUGAGGCAGACCCGGGGAACUGAAACAUCUCAGUACCCGGAGGAAGAGAAAGCAAAUGCGAUUUCCCAAGUAGCGGCGAGCGAAACGGAAUUAGCCCAAACCAGAAAGCUUGCUUUCUGGGGUUGUAGGACACUCCUUUGGAGUUACAAAGGAAUUCUUUAGAUGAAUCGAUCUGGAACGAUCAGCCACAGCAGGUAAGAGCCCUGUAAUCGAAAAGGAAUUCUCUCCGGAGUGUAUCCUGAGUACGGCGGAACACGAGAAAUUCCGUCGGAAUCCGGGAGGACCAUCUCCCAAGGCUAAAUACUCCCUAGUGACCGAUAGUGAACCAGUACCGUGAGGGAAAGGUGAAAAGCACCCCGGGAGGGGAGUGAAAGAGAACCUGAAACCGUGUGCCUACAAGUAGUCGAAGCCCGUU
rnacentral:rRNA from 1 species